UACUUCCUGUAGAAAUGCCCAAGUGAAUCUACAAUUCAGUGCUUCCUGUACAAAAGGAAGUCACUGUCUGAAGUUAGACAGCAAAAUCUUAUUCUCAUGACCAAAAUAAAGCUUUGCUUUCUCUGUAAAUACAGCAUAUUUGAAUUCAGAUAUGCAAUCCAACUGCAGCUGACCUUCAGUAUGACAUUCACUGCAGUAGUGCUGCUUAUAUCGUCUGAAUUCAGCCUGACUGCUUUACGUCAUGUUUUGACAAUGUCCCAUCAGAUGUGCAAGGAAGAUCUUAAUUUCCUUUUAUGUGUGGAUCUCAUGAAAGGCAGAAGGAUACAAGCUUCUGGGGAUGUGACAUAUUACUGGUUUUCUUAGUAGAAUUGUACCAGUCUGUGUCUGACCUUGUGGUUCUCUCUCAUUUCCACUGCUUGCGUUCCCCUUGAUGGAUGAAAUUCCCUUUUCUAAACUGCCUCUCACCUUUGCUGCUUUUUACAAGGACUGGAAGUUGCUGCUUCAGGAAACAGCAAAUGUCAGACACUGUAAGCCUGAAUGCUUCCUUCCUGCCUUCUCUUGGGAUUUUCCAGCAUCAUGGACUCAUGGGGACAGCAACUGAUGAGCUACAUGUCCCUCCGCUCACUCAUCCAUGAGGCAUGUGAGAGAAGUCAUCUUCCGUGACAAAACUAAGGACAGGCUAAGCUAAAAGAGAACACCACGUAAAUUAUGGGCAGUAGUCACAGCCUGCUAUUCAACUUCAGCACUGUAAUUUUUGUUUACUGUCCAGAUUAUGGUCAUACCAACCAGAGGCAACAGCAGCUGAGGUCAGACCUGCAGAACUGCAAUCAGAGGAAGUGCCAGGAUGCAGUGUACCUCCCUCCUGAAAGACAUGUUCAUGUAAGGAGACACUUACAGUUUUGGAGUACUAUCUUGGGAGAACCUAAGCAGACAGAAACUUUGUAAAGGAGAUAGCACUUAAUGCAUGCAAAGGUUCAGAAGUAUUCAUACUGUAGACAGGCAUACACAAUUCAGAGAUUACCCAGGCUCUGACAGUAGAAGACCAUUUUGUACUCUUCCCUGCAAAGAAAACAGUUAGCAUUAGGACUCACCUCUGGCACUUCAGCACAGGUCACGAACUAUGCACCUUGAAAACCAGCAACAGCUCAGUGUGAAGUCAAACCAGGAAGAAGAGAUCUCACGCUGAUCGUUUUUUGAAAUCAUGGUUCUGCUGACCUGCAAAGGAAAAAUAUGGGAUCCUUCAACAGACCAGAAUUGCUGAUGUGGAAGAGAACCACUGACAUGGUGUUGUGCUUGUAUGGAAGGAUCAGAUAACCAGAGUAAAACAGAUCAUCAUUUAUUUGUGGGAAUUAUUUAUAGAAUUUUAUGAAGGAAUCCUUGAUUAUUGAAACUUAAUUACCAACUUUCAGAAAUGAUUCUGUUCCAUUCUGCUACUGAACAUUUUUAUAACUCUGAUGUACCAGCUGGUGGACCAUGUUAAUCUGUCAUUAUUAUUAUUAAUAAUAUUAUUUUUGACAUAAAAACAGUUUUGGCUCUCACUUUUCUUGAAACAGCUUCUUAGAUGAGAAUUUCAUUUGAAGCCAGACUUCUCCCAGUCUUAAUUGUUAAUUAGGGAACUGGCACGGAACAAGUGGGAGCAGAAGUUAUCUGCUUUUAGACAGACUUUGUUCUUGUAUUUGGCUUUCCAACUUAAGUAUCUGUAAUAGGAUGUGAUCUUACAGAGUUGCUGAUCCAUUACCAUUGUGUUUACCCAGAUUUUUGUCAAGAUAAUCCAAGAAGACAGUUAGUAACCAAUUAUAAAACACAGGCAAAUCUGUUAUUUCAUGUUCAAAUGAGCCUGAGUUUAAUUCUUUAAGUAUGUUAUUUAAUAAUUAACUCUAACUCAUAAUCAGAUUUUUUUGACACCUACUCAACUGAAAUCAGUGCACGAGUUGAGGUUUUGUAUGGAUACCUUGGCUAAAAGCAUUGUCAUAAACUAACUGGGCCACUGCCAAAACCUUGUUAUUAACAAACUUAAACUAAAGCAGGCUUAUGCCCCAAUGUAGGCAAAUGCAAAGACUUCAUCAUAAACCUCUUGUGCGAUACAAGCAUUUAAACUUUGGGUUUGUUGACAGUUGCAGCUCUUGGGAAUCUUUCUGUGAUGUGAUAUUUUAGAGAGAUGCUUUUUGAUUGAAAUGAAGCUGCUUCUGAUAUGAAAAAUUUUGAUGCAGAACAGGGAUGCGGUGACCUGAAAUAAGCAUUCAUUUUGUCAUACCAAACAUGCACACUCUUAAGAGGCCACAGUAAGUUGGCGAUGUAAUAAAGACAUCGAUGUAGAUAUGUUGAUCACUGUUGUGAAAUAGCAAACUGCUUAAAGCUUAAGUGUAUUUUGUUACACUUGUAUGCCAACCACAUUCAUUAAAACAGAUUUCUAUUGUCCUUAUCCCUCUUUUCCGUAGUUCUUUUUAUAUCACAAAAUGUAGAAUUAGCAACACUGAGCAAGAGCUCUACAGAUCUAUUAAAGGAAAAUACCAGAAGUUGGCAGGUUUUUUUUGUAUUUCUUUUUGUAUUUCUUUUUCCUUGACUUUAUCAGUAUGUAUUCUUCUUCUUGGAGCUGCUCACAGCCAUCUUUUGCUGACUCGUACAAAGACGACCAUCCCUUGCCCCUUGCUCCUUUCUGCUAUCUAUACAGCACUCUUAUCUCAGCUGGGAUACUUCCUGUAAUGAAAGAACUCCUGCACUAGAAUUUUUUGAAGUUAAUUUGUAGACAAUUAAUCUGAGGUGCUGGAAUGGAGCUUCUGAGAGAUUAGUCUUUCCAGUAGAGAACAAAACAAAGCUAUAAAUACCACUCAAUAGUUGUCGCCAACAUGUAUCAAAAUAGUCCCAGACAACAGAGGAAGACAAGUGCAUGCUCACAGAGUACUCAUUUCCAAAACUUUAAAAAUAAUGCAUUAAUGGACUAAUAGUGUACACAAAAGAAUUUUUACACUGAUUAGUCAAAAAUGUAGAGCUGGGUAGUUGGAUUUGAUGACCUUUAAGAGUCCCUUCCAAAUGAUUAUAUGGUUCUGUAAUUACACAAGCUGAAGCUAACCAAACCUUAAAUAUUUACAUGAUAUCAUUUCAAUUCUGCAUGAUCUUGCAAACACUUUCAUGCUACCGCAGCUUCAGUCACUUGUGCUAUCCACGUGAGGUUAUGUACAUAUAUAAAUACUUGUGGGACUGGUUUGUUAGGAAAAGACCUAGCCAUCUUCAAGGCUGGCAUAGAGAAUUCAAGUUUCUUCACUGCCAAUUAUUUGAUAAUGAUGACAUACAUCCAUUAAGUAUGCUUUCCCCUAGCAAGUGCUUUCCCCUUUUCCUAAGACUGUUGCUUUUUUUUUUUUUUUUUUCAUGCAUGAAAAACACUUUUUUCCUUCUUUUUCUCCUACCCUCUCUGCCUCCUUUGUAAAAUAUUAUUCUGGAGCUCAAAAGCACUUAGUGGAGUUUCUGGUUUUUUUCUUCAUCAAAAGAAAUAAACCCCUGCUUCCCUCACUUGGCACAGCCUUUAGUGAGGAUAUGGUUGACUUGACAGCUGGUAUGUCAGCAAAGUUAAACAAAACUCAUGGAUUUUGAAGGUAAGUUCACCAUAAAUUAAGCUGCCUGAUGAGGUCUGCAGAGAACAUAUUUAAUGAGUUGUGUUAUAUUAAAGGUGCAGUGUAGCUGCAAGAGUAUGUUAACUGUAAAUGCAGUGUGUGUUUAAAAAAAUGGGCUGCUGAUCACUGAAGAACUGCAUUUUUCUUAAUCCCAGUGUGAGAAAAAUGGUGGAUAAGAAGUUCAGACGUAAUACUUCUGGUUCUUGCGUUGAUAGGAAAUAAUUUGUGAUGGGUAUUUUGCUGUUUCCUGCCUUUAUUUCUCUUCUUCCAAAGAUACAUCCCAGGUAAUAUUUAGAGAUCUUUAUCCCCAAACUGCAGUCUGCACAGGUCAUUACAGUUGGCUUUUCUUGUUCCACAGAAGUAAGAGAUGCAGAGGACAAGAGGUAAUGGCCUUAAGUUGUGCCAUGGGAGAUUCAGGUUGGAUAUUAGGAAAAGGAAUGUGGGCAUGGGGGGGUGGGCUGGGUUUGGACUUAGUGGUCUUAGAGGUCUUUUCCAACCUUCUUAAUGAUUUAUGGUCAGUUGAAGGAACUGUGUACUCUUCCAACCAGGCUGAAUUAAAUGGCAGUCAGUGAUUUAGAAUAAAAACUUCACUCUUUGAAAUAUGAUAACCUUCCACAGUAUUUCGACACAUUUCCAACUGUUGGUCUUGAACUUUCCACAUAGCAACAAUACCCACAUGAGCAGAAAACACAGCUGAGUUUUCCCGUCAGAAGUAAUCUGGCAGUACUCCAGAAAGGUCUGUACAAUUUGUUCGUUCUUUAGGUUUCAGAGAA